rnacentral:lncRNA from 1 species
UUUCCAUCAUCUGAGUGUGCCCGUAAUUUCACUGAUUUCCUGAGAAUACAUGUAUUUUAAAAGUCAACACGAGGUUGGUGAGAGUCACAGGUUUUCUGCUAGCCGCAGUAAUAAUACUUUCAAAAGUCCAAAAGUAUAUUUUUCUUGUAUAACAAUAGUUGAAACAAUGCUUGUCAUGAGUCUUUAAAAGCCAAUAAGUAAUUUUAUAAAUAAAUCUAUGCUUUUAAAAGAAAACGUGUUUGAUAUAACUUCAUGAAAGUUUAAAUAUAUUCAUUGUAUAAGUAACCACUAUACUUAAAAAAAACAGUUUUGAAGGCAACCAAACCUAUGGUUGUAGUGAAAAAGUGAGAGAGAUUCGUGUUAAUGUUUUUAGUGAGUUCUAUAAUCAAGCUAUAGACGAAAGGUACCCCUCCCUACGACGCUUCAUUGGACAUCGUAGUAACGAUCGUAGACACAUAUCACCUGCUUCGAUUGAUCAGUCGAUGGUUGUAGCUAGCAACCGCAGGUGGGGUUGUCAACCCUAUAUAGAUCUAUAUAUAUGUAACUCGCUCCGAAGAUUAACGAUUAUAGCAGUGUGGGGCAGGCUAAGUGAUUAAACUCAGCUAAUGAAUAGUAGCGUCUCACUCAAAAACCAUUAACGCAAAGUUUGUGAAUAACUCUCAGCCCUAACUUAAUUAUAGAUAAGUACCGGGCAUAAUGAAACUCGUAGUAUAGUAUUUGUAAAGUCGAGUAUGGUUGACGUAUUUAUAAAAGUAUAAAUUACUCGCUUUUAUAGAGAUAUGUAUUUUAACAUAACGAUCUUGUAUAAGUGUGUAAAGUCUUAUGCAUGAUGGAAGUAUUUAUAACUUAAAUUUGUAGCAUGCAUAUCAUAUAAGACUUAUAUAUUUGUAUCAUAAAUAAUAUAUAGCACAUGUAUUCUCCCCCAAAACAAAUAAAUACAAAAAGAGGGGCCGUAACUCUCACCUUAUCGAGUGGUAAACGAGUAGUUCUGAAGACCAGAAUGUAUUGCCGUGAGGUCGUGAUCUCCGGGAUUAGUUCGAUUUCCUAGAAAUUCGAUAUAUAUUAAUAUUUGGACGUGAUUAAGUAUUAUAACAAUUUCUUGAAUAAUUCCCUAAGUCUUGCCAAUUUAAAAUUUAUAAUUAUUUUAAAUAAAUUUUAAAAUUUAAUUUAUUAUUUUUCCGCAAGUUUUUAAAUAACCAAAAUUAAUUUAUUUGAAAUCAACUUUAAAAUUUCUAAUAUAUACGUAUAAACAUUGUUCAUUUAAUUUUGUAUUUAAAGUUUGAUUUGUUUUGAAAAGAUUUGUUCAGUUUAGGGUAUGUUUUAAAUAUUUUGAUUAAACUUUCAUUGUUUAACAACUAGAUUUGAGAUAAUUCUAAAUAUGGAGGGACUAAUAAUGGACAAUUUCAAAGUUGAGGGAUCAUAUCUAUUUAAAUGGAAUGCAUGUUUGUAUAGUGUCGAUCAAUUACACAGGAGGUGUUAACCUCCUGUGUUCACUCGAAUUCCAUGCAUAAACAAAGGAAAAGAAUUACGCAUGAUUUUAUGGUUCUUUGGUUGUUUAUUAUGAUCGACAAUGAGAAGGAAAUAAAUAUACAAGGUGGUGACGGUAGGGACUUACAGUGGCAGCAACACAGCAGUGGCAAAAAGAGAAGGUGGUUUGUUCGUCGGUGGUGGCAGGAGGGUCCCCGACAGCCUCCUGCUGCCUUCUGUUGCGUCUUCUUCCCGAGAAAAAGAGAGGGGAGGGUGGAGAGACUCUCGGUGGUUGAAAUCAGGAGCAAACCAUGGUUGAAGGAGGUGUUUGAUAUUAGUGGCAGUGGGUGGUGGUGUAAGGAAAGAGAAGAGAGGGAGAGAUUAAGAGAGGGAGUGAUAGAGAGAAGAAGAACCGAUUAGUUUGUGAGGAUUCAGGUGAAGUAAAGCCCUCUAUUUAUAGUAUAAGUCUACACACACAUGCUUACUAAUAGCCAUACCUUCAACUGUUUAUGUACUUUUGGUGAUACUUGCAAACCAAGAUGAAGAGUGAGGUAGAGGAGAAGCACGUGGGAAGCUGGAAGGAGAUCAGAUUUUUGGAGUCCAUCACACCAUGGGGGCCCCACAUGGAGUUAUACCUCCACUUCAUGUCCCAAAACAUGCGAAAACGGGUUCCUUGGGAUUCGUGCAUCGAAUAUUUUUUUUUGAAAGGACUUUUAGAUAGAGUAUAAUUCAAGGAUUCCAGAACAUCAAACGGAUUAAUUUUUGGAGUUACGGAUCUCCGGGAAAUUGCGUUUGAAGUUUUGCGUCUUAACGGUUGGCGGUGUCCGUUUUCGCGACUUUCAUAAAUAUUUUCGUAAAAAUUAUUUCGAGUGUGAAAUUAAAUAAUAUACUAUAUCCUGAGUCCAAAAAUGCUCUCAAAAAUCCCGUCGGCAAAGCGUAAGUGCCUCAACGGAACGUUUUUGUUUACGCGAUUAAAGAAUAAAAGUGUUUUACUGUCCGUUUUUCUUAAAGCGGUUGUAUCUUUUGCAUACAAACUCUGUUUUGGACGUUCUUUAUAUUUUUGGAAAUGGGGGAACAUGUACUAUCAUAUUUUUGUGUUUAUUUUGCUCAAAAAUGAUUAAUGUUAAAUUUCAGUUUUCAGACGCAUUAGUCAGCGCUGCAGUUGAGCGGUUUGAUUUGGUUACCAGUUUACACGUUUGGGCAUAAAAAUAUCAUCAAAUAUUAUAUAAUAAUUGAAAUUAACUCAUUUAUAUUUCAUUAGAUGCAGUUAAAGCUGAAUAAAUUAAUUACAAAUAGAUUUGCCGUAAUUUAGUCGUUUGAAAUCUAGGCCCUAAAUUUCGGGAUGUCACAUUACCUCCCCGUUAAGAGAAUUUCGUCCCGAAAUUAUUACAUUCUUGGCUACUUUACACUAGUAGUUAGUUCUUUCACUGGUGGAGGGGGCAUCAUUAAAUAAGUGUGGGUACUUUUGUUUCAUUUGGUCCUCACGUUCCCAAGUAAACUCUGGCCCUCUACGAGAGUUCCAUCGGACUUUUACUAUAGGUAUGCGGUUUUGUUUAAGUCUUUUAAUCUCCCGAUCCAUAAUCUCCACCGGUUUUUCUAUGAAGUGAAGCUUUGUGUUGACCCGAAUUUCAUCGAGUGGUACAACCAAGUUUUCAUCGGCUAGGCACUUUUUGAGAUUACACACGUAGAAGGUAUCGUGAACCUUGUUGAGCUCUUGAGGUAGCUUGAGCUUAUAAGCUACCGGACCAACUCUUGCUAGGAUCUCAAAGGGUCCAAUGUAGCGUGGGUUUAGCUUUCCUCUUUUUCCGAAUCUAAUGACACCCUUCCAUGGGGCAACUUUUAGUAGGACUCGGUCUCCUACUUUGAAUUCCAAUGGUUUGCGUCUGUUGUCAGGAUAACUCUUCUGCCGACUACGUGCGGCUUUUAGCCGUUCUUUUAUCUGAACAAUCUUUUAUGUUGUCUCCUGAAUGAUUUCAGGUCCAGUGAAUAGUGUAUCUCUAAUAUGUUUUCCUGCUAGUUGGGUAUCUCCAACCUCUGCCCAACAUAAUGGUGAACGACAUUUGCGCCCAUACAAGACCUCGAAUGGAGCGGUCUUUAUACUACUGUGAUAGCUAUUGUUGUAAGAGAACUCAACUAAUGGCAAGUGAGUAUCCCAUGCGUUACCAAAGUCUAUCACACAAGCGCGGAGCAUAUCUUCCAGAGUUUGUAUUGUCCUUUCGCUCUGGCCAUCCGUUUGGGGAUGAUAUGCUGUACUCAUGUCGAGUUUUGUGCCUAGGGAUCUUUGCAGUGAUUGCCAAAAUCUGGAAGUGAAUCUACUAUCUCGGUCCGAGAUGAUAGAUAUUGGCACACCGUGUAGUCUGACUAUCUCCUUGAGAUAAGUUCUGGUGAGUUUUUCCAUCUUAUCAGUUUCCUUGAUGGCUAAGAAGUGAGCGGACUUGGUCAAACGGUCAACCACUACCCAUAUGGUAUCGUAACCGCUUGAUGUCUUGGGCAACUUUGUUAUAAAGUCCAUUGUUAUUUGCUCCCACUUCCAUUCUGGAAUUGAUGGUUGUUGUAGCAGGCCAGACGGUUUCUGGUACUCCGCCUUGACCUUGGAGCAGGUCAAACACUUACCAACAUAAGUGGCAAUUUCUGCCUUCAUAUUGGGCCACCAAUAAUGCUUCUUGAGAUCGAGAUACAUCUUGUCUGAUCCGGGAUGUAUUGAGUAUCUUGACUUGUGAGCUUCAUUUAAAACCAAAUCUCUGACUUCUCCAAAUCUUGGAGUCCAAAUUCGGUUCAUGAAGUAUCGCGUUCCAUCAUCUCUGAGGUCGAACUGUUUGUCCAUGCCUCGUAGGUUUUCUUCCAUGAUGUUUUCAGGUUUAAGUGCUUCUAGCUGAGCAUCACGAAUUUGAAUAGUAAGGUUCGAGUGGAUGGUUAGGGUUAGAGCCUUUACACGAAGAGGUUUUGCUCGUUCCUUCCUGCUUAAGGCAUCUGCCACAACGUUUGCUUUACCGGGAUGAUAACGAAUUUCGCAUUCAUAAUCAUUUAGUAAUUCGACCCAUCUCCGUUGUCUCAUAUUGAGCUCUUUUUGAUCAAAAAUGUGUUGGAGGCUCUUGUGGUCUGUGAAUACAAUGCACUUUGUCCCGUAUAGAUAGUGUCUCCAAAUCUUCAGAGCAAAUAUUACGGCUCCCAACUCUAAGUCAUGGGUAGUGUAGUUUGUCUCAUUUGGCUUCAGUUGUCGGGAUGCAUAUGAAAUAACCUUAUUCCUCUGCAUUAGUACACACCCUAACCCUUGACGUGAGGCAUCACAGUAUACUACAAAGUCUUCUGUUCCUUCAGGAAGAGACAAAAUCGGUGCACUGCAUAACAAUUGCUUCAAUUUUCGGAAGGCAGACUCUUGACUGUCUCCCCAGUCGAACUUUUUGUCUUUCUGGGUUAGUGCGGUGAGGGGCUUGGCUAUUUUGGAGAAGUUCUCGAUAAAUCUCCGAUAAUAGCCUGCAAGCCCUAAGAACUGGCGUACUUCGGUUGGUGUUGUUGGUGCUUUCCAAUUCUUGACAGCUUCAAUCUUUGCGGGAUCGACAUGAAUCCCUUUACUGCUGACCACAUGACCGAGGAAAUGAACUUCGUUAAUCCAGAACUCACACUUAGAAAACUUUGCAUAAAGUUUUUCUUUUCUUAGCAGUUCUAGAAUUAAACGCAAGUGCUGGCCAUGUUCUUCCUUGGUUUGUGAGUAUAUUAAUAUGUCAUCGAUGAAGACAAUCACGAAUUUGUCCAAGUAGGGUUUACACACCCGAUUCAUAAGGUCCAUGAAUACAGCAGGUGCGUUGGUCAGUCCAAAUGGCAUCACUAGAAACUCAUAGUGACCGUAUCUAGUUCGGAAUGCCGUCUUUGGAAUAUCUGCUUCUUGAACUCUAAGUUGAUGAUAGCCGGAUCGUAGGUCGAUCUUUGAGUAGUAACAGGAUCCUUGUAGUUGGUCGAACAGGUCAUCGAUCCUCGGGAGUGGAUACCGGUUUUUGAUAGUGAGCUUGUUCAACUCUCGAUAGUCGAUGCACAUCCUAAACGAACCAUCCUUCUUUUUGACAAACAAUACCGGGGCUCCCCAUGGAGAGAAGCUUGGCCGAAUAAAGCCUUUGUCGAGAAGUUCUUGAAGUUGACUGGAUAGUUCUUGCAUUUCCGAUGGGGCUAGGCGAUAAGGAGACCGUGCCAUUGGUGCUGCACCCGGGAUAAGGUCGAUUCGAAAUUCAACCUGUCUGAUAGGAGGUACUCCAGGUAGGUCUUCUGGAAAUACAUCUGGGUAGUCACACACUUGUGGUAUGUCUUUGAUUUCCUUACCCUUGCCUUGCGUAUCCACCACGUGGGCCAAGAAAGCGUAGCAUCUCUUCUGCAAAUACUUCCUUGCCUUCAUGCAAGUAAUGACUCGUAGGUUUUUCCCUGCCUUGUCUCCAUAAAUCACAAGGACUUCAUCGUUUGGUAAGGGUAAUCGUACAGCUUUUUCGUAACAUAGAAUCUCCGCUCGAUGGGCUGAUAACCAAUCCAUUCCGAUGAUUACAUCGAAACUUCCAAUGGUUAUGGGCAUUAAGUCGACAGGGAACACGUGAUUAUUCAGGGUGAGAAGGCAGUUGGUGAGUAUUUCUAAGGUGCUUUCUAUUUGACCAUUGGCUACUUCUACCAUGUAAGCAUUAUUGAGUUUGCAUGAUUUAUGAUUAAUCAUUUUUCUAAAUUUGUGGGAAAUAAAACUCUUAUCAGCACCAGUGUCAAAUAAUACAGAGGCAUAAAUAUUGUCGAUAGGAAACGUACCAGUAACCACAGUUGGUUCCUGGCGUGCGUCUCCCGCACCUAUCACAAACGCCCUUCCUUGACCACCCUGUCUCUUCAGCUUAGGACAAUCUUUCCUGAAAUGUCCCGGUUGGUUGCACUCGAAGCAGGUUCGACUUUCUCUUGCAGUAGUAGUCGAGGCUGUGUUGCUUGGGUUCUUUUUGCAAAAUUUGGCGGUAUGACCGCUUAAUUUGCAGUUGCUACAGAUCAUGCAGUCUCCAACAUGAUGAUAAUUGCACUUAGGGCAGCGAGGUAGAGUUCCAGCGUAGGGCUUUACUGGAGUGGGAGUGGUUGUGAUUGCAGCAUACAUCGUUACAGGCUCUGGGUUUCGCUUACGGUGUUUGAAAUUCCCUUUUGGCUUCCCCUGGAACCUUCUCAUAGAAUUCCCAGUUUGGUUCUUUUCUUUUGCGGGGGCCAUGGUGCCUCGUCGGAUACAUUGUUCAGUCAACUCAUAAGCCAGUUGCUUGGCACUGUCAAAAGUUGAGGGUCUGGAUGCAGUAACCAGACCUUGGACUGGCGAUGCUAAUCCCCAAAUGUAUCUCUCCGUCUUCUUGUCUUCUGAAGGCACCAUUCCGGGACAAAGAGUUGCAAGGUCUUCGAAUCGGGAGGUAUAAGCAGCUACCUCUGAUCCUUGCAUGGUUAGGUUCCAGAGUUCUUGUUCUAAUGCCUGAAUCUCCUGCCGUGGGCAAUACACUUUAGUCAUCAUUAGUUUCAGCUGUUCCCAUCCCAUGGCAUAGGCUUCCGCAAUUCCCACGGUCUUGGCAUGGUUGUUCCACCAAGUUAAGGCAGCAUCCAUCAGUGUGCAGGUAGCGUACUUAACCCUGCAGUCAUCCGGGCAAGAGCUGAUGUGGAAGACAGCUUCAAUCUUUUCUAUCCAUCGGGAUAGGCCAACAGCUCCUUCAGUUCCGUAGAAGGAUCGGGGUUUACAACCCAUGAAUUCUUUGUAUGAGCAGUGUUUGGGAUUUCUUUGGGCAACUACAGGAGUACCACUUCCGCUAUUUCCAGUAUUCCCGUUUCGAGCAGCCUCAUAAGUCGCCAAGGCCGUAGCAAUCCCUUGUGCAAGCAUGUUCUGCAUCAUGGUGGGAUCCAUCUGGAAAUUUUGGUGGUUAUUUGUAGCACUUGGGGCUUCUUCAGGGUCUAGAGUUUCUUCUGUUGUUUGAGUUAUCUCUGGAGCACUUCUCCUGUUAGUUCGGGGAGUCGGUGGUGGACGAACUCGUGGUUCUUUUCGUCGAGGCAUUAUCCUAAUACGUUAGAUAAGUAAGUUAAUUUUUUUUUUAAACCAUAUAGUUAUAAUGUGUGUGUAUUUUGUAUUUGUUCAACUUGUUUUUCUUGCGAAACCAGAAAAUGAAAGCUUUUCCUGAUAUAUAGAGUUUUGCAAGCAAUACAUAAUAAAUACAAACAUUUAACAAAACACUGAAACAUUGUCAUCAGAACUGCUUGUUUUGGUUACAAAGUUUUAACCAUAUAAGGUUAGAAAUAGAAAAGCUUUUCAAAAGAGCUAUUACAAACCAGGCAGUGAUAAACACUUGCAAUACAAAAGCUAUUCCUCAAAAGUCCUAACCUUAUCCUAGGACACAAGCUGUCCUAGAUAUCUACCUCCCAAAUCGAGUCAUCACAUAGAGGACAAAGUCCUCGAACUGGUCCAAGAUGUAGCGUCGUUCCUGCGCAGAGAUAACCAACUGAUUUCGCUGCGCAGCAAGCUCGCUCUCCAUGAUCUGAAUCCGAUAGUUCUGUGCUCUAACCUGAGCACUCAAGGCAUUCACUGCAUCGUGAUCAGCACCCGAGAGAUGAUAUAAUAUCUGGAUCGCAUCAGAAUUCUCCUUCUCCUCUUCCUCGAGUGUCUCAACUCGAUGGUCGAGGGAAGUAGAGCCUGGACCUCUCACAAACUGCUCCAAGGAUCUAAUCCUAUCCUCGGUCUGAUCAGUCUGAGUCAUCAAGCGAGGUAUCGGAUCAUCCUCAGGAUUAAACCUGAGUGGUGCUCGUGAAGAUUCACCAACCUCAAACCGUGGUGGUAGAUCAGUAGCAUCCCUCCUGCUAAGGAGGUCUGUGAGCCAAGAUGGCUCACUGGGUCGAGUCCGUUUCCCUAAUAGACCACUAGUGGGUCGGGAAACCUGAGCAGCUGGGUCCAAGUGGUAAAUAGGAGAUAUAGUAGUUCCUGGGGUCCUCAUCAUACAAGGGCCCUUGCCGCGCAGAAGGUACGGCUGGUAGUAGGGUCUCGGUGGUGAGUCUGGUGGGGUAAGGGGAGUAGGUUCCUCUUCGGAGAGGUCUCCCUCAUCCUCUGCAGGACCAUCAUCAUCAGUCUCUUGGGCAUCCUGAAAUAUGCCCUCAUCCUCGAGCUCCUCCUCAUCGGGAUCCUCCUCAGGAUCCUCUUCGGGAUCCUCCUCAGGAUCCUCUUCGGGAUCCUCCUCCUCAAGACCGUCCUGGGGAAAGUACGGAUCCCCCGCUAAGUGUAGUGGAUGUGGAUGCAAAGGAACUCCAAAUGGCUCAUCAGGAUCCUCAAGUCGAAACCAGUCAUCAGGGUUAUCCGGUAGUCCAGCCAUCUACAUAAAAGGGUUUCAAGCGGGUUAGUAAAUUUGUAUAAGUUUUUCGUAAGUGUUUUAAGGUUGAUAAAAGGAUUCUAAGGUACUAAGCUUCAGCAACGAAUCUGGUGGACAUUCUUUAACUUCUAAAACCCUCAACCGUUGUAGCUUGUCAAACUCCUUGCUCAAGGUUGGUUGUGCACCGGCCCGACCAUAAAUAACAUAGGCGCGCGUUCCAGGUUUAUUUGUGGUAUGGCUUAUGUACGAUACUAACCUUUAAUUGAGGCGUUUGACCUAAAGGGUUGAGUUGGUAGUUUUAGUUGAAGGGAUGUUUAGAAUUUUUAUUAAGUGUUCUCAUCGUGGGUUAGGGUAUAUAUAUCAACUCUUACAUAUUAAGGUUGGUGGGGUUUGUAGUAUUAUUAAUCUUUGUUUUGUACUUCCCAACUACCAUACCGUAAGUAGUCGGGAAGUAGUUUUAUUAUUGAUAAUACUUUUAUAAGAAGCUAGUUGCUAUAGUUGUAUUCCUCUUUCGAGGAUACGAGUUCUCUAUAGCCAAUUUAGCUCUGAUACCAAUAUGUCACACCCCCGGCCGAGGCGGCGGAACAUGCCGGGCUGUGCGACUAAGUUCAUGGAUCAUAGAUAAAUUGAAUAUACAGCACAAGUACAACAAUAAACAAAACAACAUUUCAUUACAUAUUUAUGUUUUCAUACAAAGUUCUUACAGAUAGUAAUAAGAUAAUAAUACGAGUUUGCCUUAACAGUUAGGCAUAACAGUUCAAAAGUAGAAAAUUAAAGUACUUGCGAGCCAUGUUUUCCAUCAUCUGAGUGUGCCCGAAAUUUCACUGAUUUCCUGAGAAUACAUGUAUUUUAAAAGUCAACACGAGGUUGGUGAGAGUCACAGGUUUUCUGCUAGCCGCAGUAAUAAUACUUUCAAAAGUCCAAAAGUAUAUUUUUCUUGUAUAACAAUAGUUGAAACAAUGCUUGUCAUGAGUCUUUAAAAGCCAAUAAGUAAUUUUAUAAAUAAAUCUAUGUUUUUAAAGAAAACGUGUUUGAUAUAACUUCAUGAAAGUUUAAAUAUAUCCAUUGUAUAAGUAACCACUAUACUUAAAAACAGUUCUAAAAGCAACCAAACCUAUGGUUGUAGUGAAAAAGUGAGAAAGAUUCGUGUUAAUGUUUUUAGUGAGUUCUAUAAUCGAGCUAUAGACGAAAGGUACCCCUCCCUACGACGCUUCAUUGGACAUCGUAGUAACGAUCGUAGACACAUAUCACCUGCUUCGAUUGAUCAGUCGAUGGUUGUAGCUAGCAACCGCAGGUGGGGUUGUCAACCCUAUAUAGAUCUAUAUAUAUGUACCUCGCUCCGAAGAUUAACGAUUAUAGCAGUAUGGGGUAGGCUAAGUGAUUAAACUUAGCUAAUGAAUAGUAGCGUCUCACUCAAAAACCAUUAACGAAAAGUUUGUGAAUAACUCUCAGCCCUAAUUUAAUUAUAGAUAAGUACUGGGCAUAAUGAAUUUCGUAGUAUAGUAUUUGUAAAAGUCGAGUAUGGUUGACGUAUGUAUAAAAGUAUAAAUUACUCGCUUUUAUGGAGAUAUGUAUUUUAACAUAAUGGUAUUGUACAAGUGUGUAAUGCCUAGUAUUCAGAUAUGGAAGUCUUUAUAACUUUUAAAAUUGUAGCAUGUAUAUCAUAUAAGGCAUAUGUAUUUGCAUAAUAAAUACUAUUUACCACAUGUAUUCUCCCCCAAGAAUAAAUAAAAUAUUGAAAAGGGGCCGUAACUCUCACCUUAUCGAGUGGUAAACGAGUAGUUCUGAAGACCAGAAUGUAUUGCCGUGAGGUCGUGAUCUCCGGGAUUAGUUCGAUUUCCUAGAAAUUCGAUAUAUAUUAAUAUUUGGACGUGAUUACGUAUUAUAACAAUUUCUUGAAUAAUUCUCUAAGUCUUGCCAAUUUAAAAUUUAUAAUUAUUUUAAUUAAAUUUUAAAAUUUAAUUUAUUAUAAUUCCGCAAGUAUUUAAAUAACCAAAAUUAAUUUAUUUGAAAUCAACUUUAAAAUUUCUAAAAUAUACGUAUAAGCAUUUAUCAUUUAAUUUUUGUAUUUAAAGUUUGAUUUGUUUUGAAAUGAUUUUUCCAUCUUAAAGUAAGUUUUAAACAUUUUUAAUUAAACUUUUAUUAUUUAAAACUUAUUUUGGAAUAAUUUCAAUUAGUGAGGGACUAAAGCUGGAUAAUUUCAAAGUUUAGGGACUAUAUCUAUUUGUUUUGAAAUGAUGUUUAAACAAUUACCAUUCUUGUAUAACAGGAGGCAUACGCCCUCCAGUUCUUCUUCUUCUUGUCGCAAUACUUAAAUGAAGAAAGAAAGAAACAAAAGUUUGUAGCAAUUCUUUAUUAUUAUUAUUAUUAUUAUUAUUAUUAUUAUUAUUAUUAUUUUGAUACUCGAUGUAAGAAAAAAAUAUAAUACAGGCGGUGAAGAUAGCUUACUGGGUGGAGGAGAUGGUGGCUGGCGGUGGCUUAAGGUGACAACAGCAGCGUCACAGUGGUGGUGGGUGAUGGCCGGCAGCCUCCUGCUGUCGUUUCCUAGCUUGGUUUGGCAGCUGGUCGACGGAAGGGAGAGAGGGCAGCUGCUGGGGGUGAUCAAGGGGGUGUUUGGUGGUGAUCUUGAUCAAGGAAGGUGGCUAGUAGUGGUGGAAUAAGGUGGUUUGUGUGGUGGUAAUGUUGUACCCAUGAGAAGAAGAAGAGAUAGAGAGGAGAGAAAUCUGCAAUUGUUUGUGUGGAAGGAAGGAAGCUCAUGCAUUCUUUUUAUAGUCAAAUGAGCUCACUCACAAGCCUUGUUAGGCCAUGCUUCCACCCAU